rnacentral:rRNA from 1 species
AGUGAACGCUGGCGGUAGGCCUAACACAUGCAAGUCGAACGGCAGCACAGUAAGAGCUUGCUCUUACGGGUGGCGAGUGGCGGACGGGUGAGGAAUACAUCGGAAUCUACUUUUUCGUGGGGGAUCACGUAGGGAAACUUACGCUAAUACCGCAUACGACCUACGGGUGAAAGCAGGGGAUCUUCGGACCUUGCGCGAUUGAAUGCGCCGAUGUCGGAUUAGCUAGUUGGCGGGGUAAAGGCCCACCAAGGCGACGAUCCGUAGCUGGUCUGAGAGGAUGAUCAGCCACACUGGAACUGAGACACGGUCCAGACUCCUAAGGGAGGCAGCAGUGGGGAAUAUUGGACAAUGGGCGCAAGCCUGAUCCAGCCAUACCGCGUGGGUGAAGAAGGCCUUCGGGUUGUAAAGCCCUUUUGUUGGGAAAGAAAAGCAGCAGGUUAAUACCCCGCUGUUCUGACGGUACCCAAAGAAUAAGCACCGGCUAACUUCGUG